rnacentral:rRNA from 1 species
UGGCGAACGGGUGAGUAACACGUGAGUAACCUGCCCUUGACUCUGGGAUAAGCGUUGGAAACGACGUCUAAUACCGGAUACGAACCGCGAAGGCAUCUUCAGUGGUUGGAAAGAAUUUUGGUCAAGGAUGGACUCGCGGCCUAUCAGGUAGUUGGUGAGGUAAUGGCUCACCAAGCCUACGACGGGUAGCCGGCCUGAGAGGGUGACCGGCCACACUGGGACUGAGACACGGCCCAGACUCCUACGGGAGGCAGCAGUGGGGAAUAUUGCACAAUGGGCGAAAGCCUGAUGCAGCAACGCCGCGUGAGGGACGACGGCCUUCGGGUUGUAAACCUCUUUUAGCAGGGAAGAAGCGAAAGUGACGGUACCUGCAGAAAAAGCACCGGCUAACUACGUGCCAGCAGCCGCGGUAAUACGUAGGGUGCAAGCGUUGUCCGGAAUUAUUGGGCGUAAAGAGCUCGUAGGCGGUUUGUCGCGUCUGCUGUGAAAACUGGAGGCUCAACCUCCAGCCUGCAGUGGGUAC